rnacentral:rRNA from 1 species
AUUGAACGCUAGCGGGAUGCCUUACACAUGCAAGUCGAACGGAGUGGCGAACGGGUGAGUCAUGUAUCGGAACGUGCCCAGUAGCGGGGGAUAACUACGCGAAAGCGUAGCUAAUACCGCAUAAUAUUGCACAGGCCGAAAUCGGGUUGGCUGGUGGGUGGGGGAACGGCUACCCAAGGCGACGAUCCGUAGCUGGUUUGGGAGGACGACCAGCCACACUGGGACUGAGACACGGCCCAGACUCCUACGGGAGGCAGCAGUGGGGAAUUUUGGACAAUGGGGGAAACCCUGAUCCAGCCAUCCCGCGUGUGCGAUGAAGGCCUUCGGGUUGUAAAGCACUUUUGGCAGGAAAGCGGUACCUGCAGAAUAAGCACCGGCUAACUACGUGCCAGCCGCCGCGGUAAUUC